rnacentral:rRNA from 1 species
UACAUGUGGGGCAAGCGUUGUUCGGAAUUACUGGGCGUAAAGGGCUCGUAGGUGGCCAACUAAGUCAGACGUGAAAUCCCUCAGCUUAACUGGGGAACUGCGUCUGAUACUGGAUGGCUUGGAUUCGGGAGAGGAAUGCGGAAUUCCAGGUGUAGCGGUGAAAUGCGUAGAUAUCUGGAGGAACACCGGUGGCGAAGGCGGCAUUCUGGACCGAUAUUGACGCUGAGGAGCGAAAGCCAGGGGAGCAAACGGG